rnacentral:rRNA from 1 species
GGAGGGUGCUAGCGUUGUUCGGAAUUACUGGGCGUAAAGGGCGCGUAGGCGGCCGUUUGCGUCGGAUGUGAAAGCCCGGGGCUCAACCCCGGAACGGCAUCCGAUACGGGGCGGCUGGAGACCGGGAGAGGAGGGUGGAAUAGCCAGUGUAGAGGUGAAAUUCGUAGAUAUUGGCUGGAACACCGGUGGCGAAAGCGGCUCUCUGGCCCGGUUCUGACGCUGAGGCGCGAAAGCGUGGGGAGCAAACAGGAUUAGAUACCCUGGUAGUCCACGCCCUAAACGAUGUGUGCUGGGCGUCGGGGGGCUUGCCCCUCGGUGCCGGAGCCAACGCGGUAAGCACACCGCCUGGGGAGUACGGCCGCAAGGUUAAA